rnacentral:misc_RNA from 1 species
UGGUUCUGGCAUCGAUGAAGAACGCAGCGAAAUGCGAUAAGUAAUGUGAAUUGCAGAAUUUUGUGAAUCAUCGAAUCUUUGAACGCACAUUGCACCUUUUGGUAUUCCGAAAGGUAUGCCUGUUCGAGCGUCGUUUAAAAUCUCUAUUGAUUUAUUUUAUUUUAAAUCAGUGUCUUGGAGCCUUUUGGUGUUUUCCAAAUCUCCCAAAAGAAUUGAUAGCGAUCUGGAAUAAGAUUUAUAUUAAAACGCAUUAAAUCUAUUUUUCGUUUACAAACAAAAUCUAUAUCCAGGCAGCCAAAAAAAAAAUGAUUAAAAUAGCUCAAAUUAAAAUGGCUUCGAGUAGUUGUUAAUAGCAUCACUUGAAUUCAUUUAAUUUAAUUAUUUUUCUCUCUCUCAUAAAAUCGACCUCGGAUCAAGCAAGAAUACCCGCUGA